AUGUCACUAUGACAUUUCCUUCUGCAAGAAUUUCAGGCUAGGUUUAGGAUUCAGUUUUGAUGGUUGUGAUUUAGGCAUUGCAAAAAUCUCAGUGAGAAACCCUCAAACUCAAACCGUUCUAGUAAAAUUACGCUUUUUAAAGUACAAUAACUACUUCUAACCUUUUUAGAAAGUUGUCUAGUUUACGUGGGCGGUGUUUUGUUAACAUUUCCUAUUAUCUCAGUUUUAUUGAGAGCAAAAACUAAAAGAACACCUCGUUUUGUGCAUAUGAUUAGUAUUCAGAAAUAGUGAGAUAUGGCCUGCUAGUUUCGAACUGUAUUGAAAUAUAUUGCAUGUUAGAUGAUGGUGUUAAUUUGAAGAAACAAGUCGUCGGUGC